GACGAACGCUGGCGGCGUGCUUAACACAUGCAAGUCGAACGGAAAGGCCCUGCUUUUGUGGGGUGCUCGAGUGGCGAACGGGUGAGUAACACGUGAGUAACCUGCCCUUGACUUUGGGAUAACUUCAGGAAACUGGGGAUAAUACCGGAUAGGAGCCCCUGCUGCAUGGUGGGGGUGGGAAAGUUUCGGCGGUUGGGGAUGGACUCGCGGCUUAUCAGCUUGUUGGUGGGGUAGUGGCUUACCAAGGCUUUGACGGGUAGCCGGCCUGAGAGGGUGACCGGCCACAUUGGGACUGAGAUACGGCCCAGACUCCUACGGGAGGCAGCAGUGGGGAAUAUUGCACAAUGGGCGGAAGCCUGAUGCAGCAACGCCGCGUGCGGGAUGACGGCCUUCGGGUUGUAAACCGCUUUCGCCUGUGACGAAGCGUGAGUGACGGUAAUGGGUAAAGAAGCACCGGCUAACUACGUG
rnacentral:rRNA from 1 species